rnacentral:rRNA from 1 species
GAUGAACGCUGGCUACAGGCUUAACACAUGCAAGUCGAGGGGAAACGACGGGGAAGCUUGCUUCCUUGGGCGUCGACCGGCGCACGGGUGAGUAACGCGUAUCCAACCUGCCUCUGACUGAGGGAUAACCCGUCGAAAGUCGGCCUAAUACCUCAUGGCAUCGUCUGCGGGCAUCCAACGACGAUUAAAGAUUUCAUCGGUCAGGGAUGGGGAUGCGUCUGAUUAGCUUGUUGGCGGGGUAACGGCCCACCAAGGCUACGAUCAGUAGGGGUUCUGAGAGGAAGGUCCCCCACAUUGGAACUGAGACACGGUCCAAACUCCUACGGGAGGCAGCAGUGAGGAAUAUUGGUCAAUGGGCGAGAGCCUGAACCAGCCAAGUAGCGUGCAGGAUGAUGGCCCUAUGGGUUGUAAACUGCUUUUAUGCGGGGAUAAAGUGAGGGACGUGUCCUUCAUUGCAGGUACCGCAUGAAUAAGGACCGGCUAAUUCCGUGCCAGCAGCCGCGGUAAUACGGAAGGUCCUGGCGUUAUCCGGAUUUAUUGGGUUUAAAGGGAGCGUAGGCCGUGGAUUAAGCGUGUUGUGAAAUGCAGGUGCUCAACGUCUGCACUGCAGCGCGAACUGGUCCACUUGAGUGUGCGCAACGCAGGCGGAAUUCGUCGUGUAGCGGUGAAAUGCUUAGAUAUGACGAAGAACUCCGAUUGCGAAGGCAGCCUGCGGGAGCACAACUGACGCUGAAGCUCGAAAGUGCGGGUAUCGAAAAGGA